GAAAAGAUCUGUAGUACUCUGGAAAUUGAGCCGAGGUGUAAGAAUUAGCUGUGAUGAGAAAGUUAAGCUUGAUAAACAUACCUUAUCAUAUAUACUCAACUCAGGAAAAGAUCUGUAAUACUCAGGAAAUUGAGCCGAGGUGUAAGAAUUAGCUGUGAUGAGAAAGUUAAGCUUGAUAAACAUACCUUAUCAUAUAUACUCAACUCAGGAAAAGAUCUGUAAUACUCUGGAAAUUGAGCUGAGGUAUAAGAAUUAGCUAUGAUGAAAAAUUUAAGCUUGAUAAACAUACCUUAUCAUAUAUAUACUCAAUCUUUUUAACCCAGUAGCAGUGACGGGCCAAAUUUGUGGCUUUACCGUGUACCAGCGAUGGGCCAGAUUUUUGCCAUGAUAUAAACCCCCCAAAUAGAUGGUGCAUAAACUGAUCACAAAUGCGUUAAUAUAUAUUAUGAAAUGGUUUGCGUGAGUGAUGAUUUUUUCUCAUUUUUCUUGCUUAGAGGGCCCUUUAAGAGACAUGAUCCCCGCAGCUACCGGGUUAAUGUUUUUUUGGCUAAAUUUAUUGGGAACUGUAGAAUUAAAAGUACUAUGGGGUGUUAUAUUCCAAGCUCCUUCCUUACAAACCAAGCUGGACAAAAGAACACUGUGUUGAUUUUUGAGGGUAUGAGAAAGUUGCAUGCCGACAGACAUCGCAUUACUUCAGCCCAAUCAUAUUCCAGUGCUUGUGUUUUUUUUUCUGAUAUGAGCGCUGUACCCAAACGGACCAUUUGAAACGGUUUGAGUGCUAAUCGGAAGGGCGGGUGCGUUCACACAAAUUAAGUGACCGACACAGCCCAACCAUGCAUGCUUCCUUCCUUCCAUCAACUCUCUCUGGGACCGGCUCAUGCG